AGGAUUGUCAUGGAGAAAAGUGAUCAAUUCAUUCAAGAUCAGUGCAUGGAUCACCUUCCUUUAGGAUAGAUGAGUCUUGAGUCUGUGGUGUAGAGACACUGGGAUGAGAGUACAGGUGGUUGUUAGAUAACAACUUGCACUGAGCAUGACCAACACGAGGAACUACUUGGAUGUCUACUCACUUAUCAGUGAUUUUCUCAAUGCUGCAGUGGUGUGAUUAGUCCUUUGACCUACGGUGUAUUGGCUAUUUGCAAUGAGG
rnacentral:lncRNA from 1 species